CAGCCCAAGUGUGAAGCUUUCCUUCUCACAAUAGUACGGUUUUCUCCUAUUUGUCUAGCUCUUUCGAUGGGUCGCUAUAGCAGUUUAGACCUUCCCCCUUUAUUGGCUUACCCCGCCGCUUAAGGUAAGGAAUUGUGGGGGAAUCAAUGGUUACGAUUUUGUAUUACAACCUAGCCCCCUUCGCUUGCUUGAUUGAGGG
rnacentral:lncRNA from 1 species